AGUGCUUCUCAGCCUUUUGGCUAAGAUCAAGUAUAAGUAUCUGUUUUUUUUCAGUUUGAUAUCUGAUAUAUCCUCUAUCUGACUUUCCUUGUGGCUCAGCUGGUAAAGAAUCCACCUGCAAUGUUGGAGACCUGGAUUCAAUUCUU
ensembl:snRNA U2 U2 spliceosomal RNA